AAUUUCUUUACCGAUGCAAGGAAAAUAGUUCACAUUUUUGAAAUUAUAGAAAGCUUUAUUGACCAAAGUGAAAUUAAAGGAGUGAAUUGAAUUUCAAUCAAAGUUAGAAGGGGCCAUCUGUAAUUUAAUUAAAAUUUAUCAAUGAUUCAUUCAGCAUCAAAACGCUUGCCGUAUCAACCAAGCGUUCAACUUACGCCCUGUAGCUUAAUUCGCGCAGCCCUUUCAAUUUUGGAAUAGUACUUAUACACACACUCUCGCUCUCUACUCUCUCUCUCUCAACUCUCAAGGCUCUUUUAGAUUUCUGAGGAGGAACGAUAUGAAUGUUGUGUCUAUGGAGAGAUGCUGUUAGACCGCUACAACCAAGUUAAGGGCACGGAUUUUGAAUUUGUGAGACUUGUUAAGAUGAUGGUAAUGCUCGCCGCUGGCGUAAAUUUUAAAAUUCAAUUUAAGGCCAAGUCCAACGCCGCUGCUGCUGCUGCUGAGUGCACCCUGAAAACCUUUGAAGGUUUCGUGUUCAAGUGUUGUAACUUUCGUCAUAGAGUGUGGCCCGAGACUUGUCGACUACUAUGCCCUGAUCCUCCUGACUACGUGUAUGAUGAAGAAUCUCGCCGCCUUGUGUGCACUUAUGAAGUGGCAGGUCAUCCGUGUUUGCCCUGACUCUCAAGGUUGGGU